rnacentral:lncRNA from 1 species
AAACAAAACACGAAACGUUCCCCUGGGCACUAAAUCCUCACGUUAACGUACACACACAAACACACGCCCUCCUCUCCCACUUCCUCUUCCAUACCCCUUCCUCGAGGCCCCCCACCCCUGAUUUUCGGCACCCCCAGUCCCAAUCAUAAUUGGCGCCCGCGCAGCCCUCUUUGGACACACACGCGCGCCCACGCACGCGCUCCCCUCCCCGGCAGGCGGGGGCGGCUUCGGCCGGGAGCCGGCGGAGCCCGCUUCGGAUUCCAGGUGUGGCAGUAACUCCGCGCUCCACGUUUUGCAGGCUGCCACCGUGUUGGAGGCGAGGCGAGGAAGGGAGCUGGAAUAACAAAGGGAGGUAAUGGGGUAGAUUGGAUACCUCUGGGGUCUUGGAAGAAGCUAUGACUUAUUUACUGUCUACUAUGUGGCCGACAAGAGAGAUAAAUUCCGUAAUGGGAGCUGCGGCCCUGCUCUCCUGUCCUGGUGGAGCUUUGGCUGAUGGAAAGAAGCCACCUUGUCCCAGCUCUGCCCUUC